UGGGGAAUUUUGGACAAUGGGCGAAAGCCUGAUCCAGCAAUGCCGCGUGUGUGAAGAAGGCCUUCGGGUUGUAAAGCACUUUUGUCCGGAAAGAAAUCCUUGGCUCUAAUACAGUCGGGGGAUGACGGUACCGGAAGAAUAAGCACCGGCUAACUACGUGCCAGCAGCCGCGGUAAUACGUAGGGUGCAAGCGUUAAUCGGAAUUACUGGGCGUAAAGCGUGCGCAGGCGGUUUGCUAAGACCGAUGUGAAAUCCCCGGGCUCAACCUGGGAACUGCAUUGGUGACUGGCAGGCUAGAGUAUGGCAGAGGGGGGUAGAAUUCCACGUGUAGCAGUGAAAUGCGUAGAGAUGUGGAGGAAUACCGAUGGCGAAGGCAGCCCCCUGGGCCAAUACUGACGCUCAUGCACGAAAGCGUGGGGAGCAAACAGGAUUAGAUACCCUGGUAGUCCACGCCCUAAACGAUGUCAACUAGUUGUUGGGGAUUCAUUUCCUUAGUAACGUAGCUAACGCGCGAAGUUGACCGCCUGGGGAGUACGGUCGCAAGAUUAAAACUCAAAUGAAUUGACGGGGUCAUAGCUGUUUCCU
rnacentral:rRNA from 1 species